rnacentral:lncRNA from 1 species
GUGGGGCUUGUGGGUAUGGCAACUUGUACAGCCAAGGGUAUGGGACCAACACUGCAGCUCUCAGCACCGCUCUCUUCAACAGUGGGCUGAGCUGUGGGGCAUGUUACGAGAUGAAAUGCAACGAUGACCCCAAAUGGUGCCUCCCAGGGACCCUAACCGUGACUGCCACAAACUUCUGCCCUCCUAACUUGGCCUUGUCCAACACCAACGGCGGAUGGUGCAAUCCCCCCCUUCAGCACUUCGAUCUAGCUGAGCCUGCCUUCCUUCAGAUUGCCCAGUACCGAGCUGGAAUCGUACCUGUGUCUUUCAGAAGGUGAGUAUUUUGGAGUGGGAAAAAGGUUUUAAUACUAUAUAUGAACUGAUCUUAAACUUAUAAAAUUAUUUCAAAGCCAUGAAACUUCUAGGUUAAAAAACAGAUAAUAUCUACAUGGUUAAAAAAAAAUUAUCAUAAAUGAUAUCACAAUAAACCCACAAGUUUCAACACCAAGAUUUGUUUGGUCCACUAAAAAUGCUUGUCUGUUCGGUUUGAAUCAAAACCAAUACUAAACCUCGAUGUGAGAGCUUAUCAAAAUCAAUCCCUGAGCCCGAUAUAGGAGUUUGCACACCAAUGUUUGUUUGGUCUCACGAGGGUGUUUUUCUAUUUAAUUUGUUUGAUUAAGGGGUAUUUGUCUAUUUGCACCCAUAAUGGUGUUUGUCUGCUGUCACCCAUAAUCCUGUAAACCACAAUAAGGUCGUUGUUUGACCUUUACGUGCUCCUUACCCAGACCAGACAAUAUCUACCAAUUACAUUGUGUGACCGUUACGUGCUCCUUUAACCCAGACCGGGCAAUGUCUACCAAUUACAUCUUUGGUUCUCCAACAAUCUCUCACUUCUCUUCUGUUUUUCUUGGUCUGGACAGAGUCCCCUGUGUGAAGAAAGGAGGGAUCCGCUUUACCAUCAACGGCCACUCCUACUUCAACUUGGUGCUCAUCACAAACGUGGCCGGAGCGGGAGACGUCAGGGCAGUAUCAAUAAAGGGGUCUAAGACCGGGUGGCAGCCCAUGUCAAGGAACUGGGGCCAGAACUGGCAGAGCAACUCAUACCUCAACGGCCAGACCCUCUCAUUCCAAGUCACAGCAAGCGAUGGCCGGACCAUGACAAGCCUCAAUGUGGCGCCUGCUGGCUGGCAGUUUGGGCAAACAUAUGAGGGGGCUCAGUUCUAAAUUCUCACUAGUGUGUGGCUAUGACUAUGAGUCUGUAUAUGGCAAUG